GACGAACGCUGGCGGCGUGCUUAACACAUGCAAGUCGAACGGAAAGGCCCUGCUAUUGUGGGGUGCUCGAUUGGCGAACGGGGGAGUAACACGUGAGUAACGUGCCCUUGACUUUGGUAUAACUUCAGGAAACUGGGGCUAAUACCGGAUAGGAUCUCCUGCUGCAUUGUGAGGAUUGGAAAGUUUCGGCGGUUGGGGAUGGACUCGCGGCUUAUCAGCUUGUUGGUGGGGUAGUGGCAUACCAAGGCUUUGACGGGUAGCCGGCCCGAGAGGGGGAACGGCCACAUUGGGACUGAGAUACGGCGCAGACUCGUAUGGGAGGCAGCAGUGGGGAAUAUUGCACAAUGGGAGGGAGCCGGAUGCAGCAACGCCGCGGGCGGGAUGACGGCCUGUGGGGUGUAAACAGCUUCCGCCUGAGACAAAGCGUGAGUGACGGUAAUGGGUAAAGAAGCACCGGCUAACUACGUG
rnacentral:rRNA from 1 species